ensembl:snRNA U6 U6 spliceosomal RNA
UUAAUUAGAUGUAAUAUAUAUUCUACAAUUGGAAUGAUACAGUAAACAGUUAGCAUAGCCCAUGUGAAAAGAUGACAUGUACAUUUGUGAAAGCUUUCAUAUUUUA